rnacentral:rRNA from 1 species
AACUUUCAGCAACGGAUCUCUUGGCUCUCGCAUCGAUGAAGAACGCAGCGAAAUGCGAUAAGUAAUGUGAAUUGCAGAAUUCAGUGAAUCAUCGAAUCUUUGAACGCACCUUGCGCCCUUUGGCUAUUCCGAAGGGCAUGCCUGUUU